rnacentral:rRNA from 1 species
GAGGUCCGGGAUAGCCGGGGGAAACCCCGUGUAAUACCGGAUAACAUCUCCGGAUCAAAGGUGUGAUUCCGCCUCGAGAUGGGUCCGCGUCCUAUUAGCUUGUUGGUGGGGUAAUGGCCCACCAAGGCGAUGAUGGGUAGUGGGCGUUAGCGCGUGGCCCGCCUCACUGGGACUGAGACACUGCCCAGACACCUACGGGUGGCUGCAGUCGAGAAUCUUCGGCAAUGGGCGCAAGCCUGACCGAGCGACGCCGCGUGCGGGAUGAAGGCCUUCGGGUUGUAAACCGCUGUCAGAGGGGAGGAAAUCCAUGAGGGCACUCUCUCAUGGUUGACCUAUCCUCAGAGGAAGUGCGGGCUAAGUUCGUGCCAGCAGCCGCGGUAAGACGAACCGCACAAACGUUAUUCGGAAUCACUGGGCUUAAAGGGUGCGUAGGCGGCCAUGCAAGUCGGGUGUGAAAGCCCUCAGCUCAACUGAGGAAUUGCGCCCGAUACUGCGUGGCUUGAGGGAGACAGAGGUGAGCGGAACUUGCGGUGGAGCGGUGAAAUGCGUUGAUAUCGCAAGGAACACCAGUAGCGAAAGCGGCUCACUGGGUCUCUUCUGACGCUGAGGCACGAAAGCUAGGGUAGCGAACAGGAUUAGAUACCCUGGUAGUCCUAGCUGUAAACGUUGAGCACUGGGUUGGAGAGUCCUCCAUAGCUUUCCAGCCGUAGCGGAAAGUGUUAAGUGCUCCGCCUGGGGAGUAUGGUUCGCAAGGCCUGAAACUCCAAAGGAAUUGACGGGGGUUCACACAAGCGGUGGAGGGAUGUGGCUUAAUUCGAGGCUACGCGAAGAACCUUAUCCUGGAUUUGACAUGCUUGGGAAUCCCCUGGAAACAGGGGAGUGCAUUCGGGAGCCCUGCACAGGUGCUGCAUGGCGUGUCAGCUCGUGUCGUGAGAUGUCGGGUUAAGUCCCUUAACGAGCGAACCCUGUCGUUAGUUGCCAGCGGGUAAAGCACAGGGACUCUAACGAGACUGCCGGUGUUAAACCGGAGGAAGGUGGGGAUGACGUCAAGUCCUCAUGGCCUUUAUGUCACAGGGCUGCACACGUCCUACAAUGGUGCGUACAAAGGGAAGCAAACUCGCGAGAGUAAGCAAAUCCCAAAAAACGCGCCCCAGUUCGGAUUGCAGGCCGCAACUCGCCUGCAUGAAGCCGGAAUCGCUAGUAAUCGCGGGUCAGCAUACCGCGGUGAAUAUGUUCCUGAGCAUUGUACACACCGCCCGUCAAGCCACGAAAGUGGGGGGCCGGCGAAGUCGCCGAGCUAACCCGUAAGGGAGGCAAGCGCC